GAUUGAGGUUGUGUUUCAAGGAAAAGAUUGCGUUUUGUCGAUGUUUGGGGCAUCAAUUGAGAAAAAAGAAGGUUUACUACACCAGAAAGAGAAAAGCAAAAACAAGCAAAGCAUCGAGCUAUGUUGAACUCUAGGAGGGGCUCGCGUCUGAUUAGCUAGUUGGUGAGGCAAUAGCUUACCAAGGCGAUGAUCAGUAGCUGGUCCGAGAGGCUCGUUGAGACCACACUGGGACUGAGACACGGAACAGACUCCUACGGUAGGCAGCAGUGGGGAAUUUUCCGCAAUGGGCGAAAGCCUGACGGAGCAAUGCCGCGUGGAGGUAGAAGGCCCACGGGUCGUGAACUUCUUUUCCCGGAGAAGAAGGAAUGACGGUAUCUGGGGAAUAAGCAUCGGAAAACUCUGUGCCAGCAGCCUCGGUAAUACAGAGGAUGCAAGCGUUAUC
rnacentral:ncRNA from 1 species